CUACACAGUCUUCAAUCUGUCACAGAAACUGUACCGCACUGCCAGGUUUCACAACAGGGUGUCCGAGUGCAGCUGGCCCUCCAGACAAGCCCCUAGUUUACACAACCUGUUUGCUGUGUGUAAGAAUAUGCACAAUUUUUUACAACAGAACCCCAAGAACGUCUGCGUCAUUCACUGCAUGGAUGGCCGAGCUCCCU